UCUUCGGAGUCUGGGGUGGUCGCGAACAUCCCGGACGAGCCCCCAAAAUGAAAGAGCCCCGAAGAGAGACCCUUUCUAAAGUCGCGGGAAAUCGCGGACCCCAGACACAGAGAGACCA
rnacentral:pre_miRNA from 14 species